CUUGAGUACUUGUUUCUUGGAAACAAUAGUCUAUCUGGAACCAUUCCGAACCAAAAAAGUGACUCUCUUCAAACUAUAGAUUUGUCUUACAAUCACCUUACGGGAAUUUUUCCUUCAUGGGUAAACCCAAAUAUGCAAUUGAACUUAAUAGCCAACGACUUCGUGUUUGACAACUCAAACAUAAGUGUGAUGCCAGGAUUGAACUGUCUACAGAGAAAUUUUCCUUGCAAUAGGAAUGCUCCACGUUAUGCAAAUUUUUCAAUCAAAUGUGGUGGCCCAGAGAUGCGUUCUGGUGGCAUAUUGUAUGAGGCUGAAAAUUCAUCCAUGGGCCCAGCAUCAUUCCAAGUAAUCACAAGUCAAAAAUGGGCAGUCAGCAUUGUGGGUUUGUUUGCUGAUAGACAGGAUCCAUCAUACAUUGAAGAUACCUUGUCACAAGUGGCCAGCACCAACACUCCAGAACUUUAUCUGACUUCAAGGGUAUCCCCUAGUUCAAUUAGAUACUAUGGCCUAGGUCUUGAAAACGGACUU
rnacentral:misc_RNA from 1 species